GAUUAACGCUGGCGGCGUGCAUAACACAUGCAAGUCGAACGAAGUGGCGGACGGGGGAGUAACGCUUGAGUAACCUGCCUUACACAAGGGGAUAGCCGUUGGAAACGACGAAUAAUACCCUAUGGUGUAAGAUGGACUCGCGUCUGAUUAGCUAGUUGGUGAGGUAACGGCCCACCAAGGCAACGAUUAGUAGCCGGCUUGAAAGAGUGUACGGCCACAUUGGGACUGGGACACGGCCCGGACUCUACGGGAGGCAGCAGGGGGGAAUUUUGCACAAUGGGGGAAAGCCUGAUGCAGCGGCGCCGCGUGAUUUAGAAGGCCUUCGGGUUGUAAAAAUCUUGUGUAUGAGAGUCAGUACCAUACGAAUAAGGACCGGCUAAUUACGUGCCAGCAGCCGCGGUAAUUC
rnacentral:rRNA from 1 species